UGCUGGCAUGCAGGGAGCCAGGCAUGCUCAUUAUGGUCUACCUUUAUCAGAUCUCCACCUCAGUAAACUGCAGACUGGUCUACUUCCGGCUGGUUUCCCGCCACUACUUGAUCAUGCUGCUACUCAUACUAGAAUCUCAAAUAGUCCUAUCAUUCAAAAGCCUAGCAUGAGUGAGAAUGUAUCUUGUGUGCUAACCAUGGCGCAUUCUACCCAGAUUUCAAAGAAAACUGAUGAUGUGAAGACACCCCAACUUGUACUGUUUGGUCAACCUAUACUCACUGAGCAGCAAAUCUCUCUUAGUUGCUCUGGUGAUACAUUGUCACCAGUUCAUACUGGAAAUAGUUCAUCUAAAGGAAAUUUAGAUAAAAUGACAAAUUUUUCUGAUUGCUCUGGAUCUGCUCUUCAUCAGCAAAGCCUGUCGGAGCGGUCAUCAUGUGAGGGUUUCCAAUGGCACAAGAAUAACCCCCAAGAAAAUGAGCCCUCCUUGGAGAUUGGUCACUGCAAAGUCUUCAUGGAAUUAGAGGAUGUGGGUCGGACUCUCGACCUUUCAUUGCUCAGCUCUUAUGAAGAGCUAAACAAAAAACUAGCGGACAUGUUUAAGAUAGAAAAUUCGGAGACACUAAACAAUGUGCUUUACCGUGAUGUUACAGGCGCCGUCAAACACAUUGGGUGUGAACCAUUCAGGUGUGAGUCUUUUGUUAUUUAAGCCUGUGAUGGUUAUUUUUCUGAGUGUUCUAUUUUUUGAGAGGAUGUGUGUUGAUUCAUUUCUUGCAGUGACUUCAUGAAAACAGCAAGGAGACUGACAAUUCUAAUGGAUUCAAGCAGUGACAAUGUAGGAUUGUAGAGGAAGAAAUAAACUUUGUUUGCUUUUAAACUGUACAGCUGGCUGAUCAAAUCCUUCUUCGUCGUUCCUGAGCUGACUUUUUAUCCUUCUUCAACCUGUGGGAGGAGCUGCUCUGAUCCAAUUUUUAGACUUUUCAGCUAAAAUUUGUAGAUUCUCGUUUCUCCUUAGUUUUAAAAGAAUGAAUAUUUUUAUUUCAAGAAUCAUAUAUUUCAUUCAGCAUUUUGUUGUGCAUUGUUUCUUUAAG
rnacentral:misc_RNA from 1 species